GACGAACGCUGGCGGCGUGCUUAACACAUGCAAGUCGAACGGAAAGGCCCUGCUUUUGUGGGGUGCUCGAGUGGCGAACGGGUGAGUAACACGUGAGUAACCUGCCCUUGACUUUGGGAUAACUUCAGGAAACUGGGGCUAAUACCGGAUAGGAGCUCCUGCUGCACGGUGGGGGUUGGAAAGUUUCGGCGGUUGGGGAUGGACUCGCGGCUUAUCAGCUUGUUGGUGGGGUAGUGGCUUACCAAGGCUUUGACGGGUAGCCGGCCUGAGAGGGUGACCGGCCACAUUGGGACUGAGAUACGGCCCAGACUCCUACGGGAGGCAGCAGUGGGGAGUAUUGCACAAUGGGCGGAAGCCUGAUGCAGCAACGCCGCGUGCGGGAUGACGGCCUUCGGGUUGUAAACCGCUUUCGCCUGUGACGAAGCGUGAGUGACGGUAAUGGGUAAAGAAGCACCGGCUAACUACGUG
rnacentral:rRNA from 1 species